AUUGAACGCUGGCGGCAGGCUUAACACAUGCAAGUCGAGCGGGGUAAUGGUGCUUGCACUAUCACUUAGCGGCGGACGGGUGAGUAAUGCUUAGGAAUCUGCCUAUUAGUGGGGGACAACAUCUCGAAAGGGAUGCUAAUACCGCAUACGUCCUACGGGAGAAAGCAGGGGAUCACUUGUGACCUUGCGCUAAUAGAUGAGCCUAAGUCGGAUUAGCUAGUUGGUGGGGUAAAGGCCUACCAAGGCGACGAUCUGUAGCGGGUCGGAGAGGAUGAUCCGCCACACUGGGACUGAGACACGGCCCAGACUCCUACGGGAGGCAGCAGUGGGGAAUAUUGGACAAUGGGGGGAACCCUGAUCCAGCCAUGCCGCGUGUGUGAAGAAGGCCUUAUGGUUGUAAAGCACUUUAAGCGAGGAGGAGGCUCUUAUGGUUAAUACCCAAGAUGAGUGGACGUUACUCGCAGAAUAAGCACCGGCUAACUCUGUGCCAGCAGCCGCCGUAA
rnacentral:rRNA from 1 species